CCUACGGGUGGCAGCAGUGAGGAAUAUUGGUCAAUGGGCGUAAGCCUGAACCAGCCAAGUCGCGUGAGGGAUGAAGGUUCUAUGGAUCGUAAACCUCUUUUAUAAGGGAAUAAAGCGAGGCACGUGUCCCUUUUUGCAUGUACCUUAUGAAUAAGGAUCGGCUAACUCCGUGCCAGCAGCCGCGGUAAUACGGAGGAUCCGAGCGUUAUCCGGAUUUAUUGGGUUUAAAGGGUGCGUAGGUGGCUUUUUAAGUCAGUGGUGAAAGUUUGCGGCUCAACCAUAAAAUUGCCAUUGAUACUGGCAGGCUUGAGUAUAGUUGAGGCAGGCGGAAUGCGUGGUGUAGCGGUGAAAUGCUUAGAUAUCACGCAGAACCCCGAUUGCGAAGGCAGCCUACCAAGCCAUGACUGACACUGAUGCACGAAAGUGUGGGGAUCAAACAGGAUUAGAUACCCUUGUAGUC
rnacentral:rRNA from 1 species